rnacentral:rRNA from 1 species
GACGAACGCUGGCGGCGUGCUUAACACAUGCCAGUCGAACGGAAAGGCCCUGCUUUUGUGGGGUGCUCGAGUGGCGAACGGGUGAGUAACACGUGAGUAACCUGCCCUUGACUUUGGGAUAACUUCAGGAAACUGGGGCUAAUACCGGAUAGGAGCUCCUGCUGCAUGGUGGGGGUUGGAAAGUUUCGGCGGUUGGGGAUGGACUCGCGGCUUAUCAGCUUGUUGGUGGGGUAGUGGCUUACCAAGGCUUUGACGGGUAGCCGGCCUGGGAGGGUGACCGGCCACAUUGGGACUGAGAUACGGCCCAGACUCCUACGGGAGGCAGCAGUGGGGAAUAUUGCACAAUGGGCGGAAGCCUGAUGCAGCAACGCCGCGUGCGGGAUGACGGCCUUCGGGUUGUAAACCGAUUUCGCCUGUGACGAAGCGUGAGUGACGGUAAUGGGUAAAGAAGCACCGGCUAACUACGUG